GACGAACCGUGCGAACGUUGUUCGGAAUCACUGGGCUUAAAGGGCGCGUAGGCGGGCUAUCAAGUCCGGGGUGAAAUCCUCCCGCUCAACGGGAGAACUGCCUCGGAUACUGAUGGUCUCGAGGGGGAUAGGGGCACACGGAACUGUGGGUGGAGCGGUGAAAUGCGUUGAUAUCCAUAGGAACUCCGGUGGCGAAAGCGGUGUGCUGGAUCCUUUCUGACGCUGAUGCGCGAAAGCCAGGGGAGCAAACGGG
rnacentral:rRNA from 1 species